UACGAAGGGGGCUAGCGUUGUUCGGAUUUACUGGGCGUAAAGCGCACGUAGGCGGCAUGUUAAGUUAGGGGUGAAAUCCCGAGGCUCAACCUCGGAACUGCCUCUAAUACUGGCAAUCUAGAGUCCGGAAGAGGUGAGUGGAACUCCUAGUGUAGAGGUGGAAUGCGUAGAUAUUAGGAAGAACACCAGUGGCGAAGGCGGCUCACUGGUCCGGUACUGACGCUGAGGUGCGAAAGCGUGGGGAGCAAACAGG
rnacentral:rRNA from 1 species